rnacentral:other from 1 species
UGUCCUCUGCGGUGUUCGCGCCGGAAGCGAUUACCCCUUGAGCCUAUGUUAAUAAGCUAAGGGAUUGAUCUGGUUCGCGAUGUUGUGCACGGCCGCACUCCGGCAAGCCUGAUUCGCGCCGAGAAGUCCCACCUUGAACCCCCGGUUCAAGGACAACUGCUUCUGAAACGGCAUCGGCGGAGGACAC